rnacentral:rRNA from 1 species
CCUACGGGAGGCAGCAGUGGGGAAUAUUGGACAAUGGGGGGAACCCUGAUCCAGCGACGCCGCGUGAGUGAAGAAGUAUUUCGGUAUGUAAAGCUCUAUCAGCAGGGAAGAAAGAAAUGACGGUACCUGACUAAGAAGCCCCGGCUAACUACGUGCCAGCAGCCGCGGUAAUACGUCGGGGGCAAGCGUUCUCCGGAUUUACUGGGUGUAAAGGGGGCGUAGACGGCGAUGCAAGUCUGAAGUGAAAGGCGGGGGCCCAACCCCCGGACUGCUUUGGAAACUGUAUGGCUGGAGUGCAGGAGAGGUAGGUGGAAUUCCUAGUGUAGCGGUGAAAUGCGUAGAUAUUAGGAGGAACACCAGUGGCGAAGGCGGCUUACUGGACUGUAACUGACGUUGAGGCUCGAAAGCGUGGGGAGCAAACAGGAUUAGAUACCCCAGUAGUC